rnacentral:rRNA from 1 species
GAUGAACGCUGGCGGCAUGCCUAAUACAUGCAAGUCGAACGAGAGGAAGGAAAGCUUGCUUUUCUGAAUCUAGUGGCGAACGGGUGAGUAACACGUAGGUAACCUGCCCAUGUGCCCGGGAUAACUUCUGGAAACGGAUGCUAAACCGGAUAGGUAGCAGACAAGCAUUUGACUGCUAUCAAAGUGGCUAAGGCCAUGAACAUGGAUGGACCUGCGGUGCAUUAGCUAGUUGGUGAGGUAACGGCCCACCAAGGCGACGAUGCAUAGCCGGCCUGAGGGGGCGGACGGCCAGAUUGGGACUGAGACACGGCCCAAACUCCUACGGGAGGCAGCAGUAGGGAAUUUUCGUCAAUGGGGGGAACCCUGAACGAGCAAUGCCGCGUGAGUGAGGAAGGUCUUCGGAUCGUAAAGCUCUGUUGUAAGAGAAAAACGACAUUCAUAGGGAAUGAUGAGUGAGUGAUGGCAUCUUACCAGAAAGUCACGGCUAACUACGUGCCAGCCGCCGCGGUAA